rnacentral:lncRNA from 1 species
CUGAGGUUUGGCGAGCAACUUUUCUAUGGUCCAACAGAUAAUAGGAGUCAGAGGGAAGGGCUUGAUUCUGGGUCUUUCUGAUACCAAGACCAAUACUUUAUCCAUAAUGCUAAGCUAAUGAUGUAAUAAAUGUAAAAAUAUCAUGCCAUCUCAUGGUGAUACAGGUAUUCUACACAUAAAAGUUUCUGGGAUGAUACAAUAGUACAGAACAGAAUACUUACCACAAUCAUUCUGCUAUCAGAUGUAAUUACAGCAACUGUACCUGAUAAAACAGGAUUAAGAAAAUAUUUCUUUAGGAAAGUAUAUAAGUUGUAACUUUAAGCCCGUAUAAAGAAUCCUAAGUUUGUCAGAAAAUCUGAGUACUACAGUAACAGUUGGUGAACACAGAUAUUCAAAAUUCCCAAUAUAAAAAGUGGAUAGGAAGGUGUGGAAACUCUAAAAGAAACCCUGUUACAAAAAUAAAACAAAACAAAAAACAGUGCUUAUAUCAAUUCCAAUUGUCUUUGUCUUUUCUUUGAAAACAAAAAAUUCACUCUUUCAGCUAUGUGAUUUGAAUAUUCUGUGCUAAAACAGCUAUAAUGUUUUAUCACUUUUUGCAGCUUUUGGCACUAUGCAUCCUUAACACAACUUUCCUCCUCUAAGGGGUCCAAUUAAAGCCCACAGAUUUUCCCAGCAAAUGGGGACCCCCAAAUACAACAGUAUUUUGCUUUCUCUACCCCCGUACCGUUCAGACAAUAAGAAUGAAUGAUUGAAACCUUGAAUGGUUUCUUUCCUGGGCCCCAAAAUUAAGAGUAUUUUAGAGGUCGUUUCUUGUUUUUAGUUUAGACAUGAACCUUCCCGCUUCUUCAACAGGCACCCACUCGACCAGUCCUUUAUUUGUCAAGCAUCUGAGACCUCACAUCUGGCUCUCCAGAAGAGGGCAAGACAGCUGGCUGCUGCAGAUGCCAUAGAGAGAGGCUGGCAUGAAGACAGGCAUGGCAGCUGGACCAGGGAAAACAUUUUUGAGGCGGGGUAUAACACGUAUCCGCAUGACCCGGGAAGAUCCACACAACUGCCUCUACUGGGGAUGUAAAGAAGGGGCAGCAGUUGUUGCUGCACAGGAAGUCUGGCCUGAAAGAGCUGGAUAAAAGGAACCUGCAGAGAGGGUGGGAGGAGAGAAGGGAAGGGCCCCCUGGAGGAGCCUAAGGCACGCCCCCCACCCCGCCUUCGCCUGGAGGUG